GACGUAGGGCGCGAGCGUUGUCCGGAUUUAUUGGGCGUAAAGAGCUCGUAGGCGGCUUGUCGCGUCGAAUGUGAAAACCCACGGCUCAACUGUGGGCUUGCAUUCGAUACGGGCAGGCGUAGAGUUCGGUAGGGGAGACUGGAAUUCCUGGUGUAGCGGUGAAAUGCGCAGAUAGUCAGGAGGAACACCGGUGGCGAAGGCGGGUCUCUGGGCCGAAUACU
rnacentral:rRNA from 1 species